CCUACGGGAGUCAGCAGUGGGGAAUAUUGCACAAUGGGGGAAACUCUGAUGCAGCGACGCCGCGUGCGUGAAGAAGUAUCUCGGUAUGUAAAGCUCUAUCAGCAGGGAAGAAAAUGACGGUACCUGACUAAGCAGCCCCGGCUAACUACGUUCCUGCAGCCGCGGUAAUACGUAGGGGGCAAGCGUUAUCCGGAUUUACUGGGUGUAAAGGGGGCGUAGACGGCGCUGCAAGUCCGGAGUGAAAGCCCAUGGCUUAACCAUGGUACUGCCCUGGAUACUGUGGAGCUUGAGUGCAGGAGGGGCAGGCGGAAUGCCUAGUGUAGCGGUGAAAUGCGUAGAGAUUAGGAGGAACACCGACUGCGAAGGCGGCCUGCUAAACCAUAACUGACGUUGAGGCUCGAAAGCGUGGGGAGCAAACAGGAUUAGAUACCCGGGUAGUC
rnacentral:rRNA from 1 species